UGUGUAACGAGCCUUUCCAGGGCUUAAGGAAAAUUUUUCUUUUGUCAGAUAAUGUCGGGGAAGGUUUUUCCGGUUUAUCCCGGAGGGCUUGUAGCUCAGUUGGUUAGAGCGCGCGCUUGAUAAGCGUGAGGUCGGAGGUUCAAGUCCUCCCAGGCCCACCAAUUUAUGAUAAUGAAUAAGAAUUGAUGAAUGAUUUAUGUUUUAUUAUCAUCAUUGCUUAUUGCGUUUUUGAUGCUUUAAGACGGUUAUUUAAAUCAUUCUUUAAAUAAGUUUGUUUAUUGAAGUUUAUUGACAUUUUUACCUUUUUGAGGGGCCGUAGCUCAGCUGGGAGAGCACCUGCUUUGCAAGCAGGGGGUCGUCGG
rnacentral:misc_RNA from 1 species